UACGUAGGGUGCGAGCGUUAAUCGGAAUUACUGGGCGUAAAGCGUGCGCAGGCGGUUCGUUGUGUCGGCGGUGAAAACCCCGGGCUUAACCUGGGAAUGGCCGUCAAAACUGGCGAACUGGAGUGUGGCAGAGGGGGGUGGAAUUCCGCGUGUAGCAGUGAAAUGCGUAGAGAUGCGGAGGAACACCGAUGGCGAAGGCAGCCCCCUGGGCUGACACUGACGCUCAGGCACGAAAGCGUGGGGAGCAAACAGG
rnacentral:rRNA from 1 species